UACGUAGGGUGCAGGCGUUAAUCGGAAUUACUGGGCGUAAAGAGCGCGCAGGCGGUCGUUCAAGUCGCGUGUGAAAGCCCCCGGCUCAACUGGGGAGGGUCACGCGAUACUGAUCGACUCGAAGGCAGGAGAGGGUAGUGGAAUUCCCGGUGUAGUGGUGAAAUGCGUAGAUAUCGGGAGGAACACCAGUGGCGAAGGCGACUACCUGGCCUGUUUCUUGACGCUGAGGCGCGAAAGCUAGGGGAGCAAACGGG
rnacentral:rRNA from 1 species